rnacentral:rRNA from 1 species
AUACAUGCAAGUCGAGCGAAGUUUUUCUUGGUGCUUGCACUAGAAAAACUUAGCGGCGAACGGGUGAGUAACACGUAAAGAACCUGCCUCAUAGACGGGGACAACUAUUGGAAACGAUAGCUAAUACCGGAUAACAGCAUAAAUCGCAUGAUAUAUGUUUAAAAGUUGGUUUCGGCUAACACUAUGAGAUGGCUUUGCGGUGCAUUAGCUAGUUGGUGGGGUAAAGGCCUACCAAGGCGACGAUGCAUAGCCGACCUGAGAGGGUGAUCGGCCACACUGGGACUGAGACACGGCCCAGACUCCUACGGGAGGCAGCAGUAGGGAAUCUUCCGCAAUGGGCGAAAGCCUGACGGAGCAACGCCGCGUGAGUGAAGAAGGAUUUCGGUUCGUAAAGCUCUGUUGUUAGGGAAGAAUGAUUGUAUAGUAACUAUAUACAGUAGAGACGGUACCUAACCAGAAAGCCACGGCUAACUACGUGCCAGCAGCCGCGGUAAUACGUAGGUGGCAAGCGUUGUCCGGAAUUAUUGGGCGUAAAGCGCGCGCAGGUGGUUUAAUAAGUCUGAUGUGAAAGCCCACGGCUCAACCGUGGAGGGUCAUUGGAAACUGUUAAACUUGAGUGCAGGAGAGAAAAGUGGAAUUCCUAGUGUAGCGGUGAAAUGCGUAGAGAUUAGGAGGAACACCAGUGGCGAAGGCGGCUUUUUGGCCU